rnacentral:lncRNA from 1 species
UUCACCCCCAUCCGCCGCCCCGGCUCCUUCGACUUCGACGGCGCAUGGUAAUCAUACCGGACCAGCUCAAUACGUAGGAGCGUCAGUGUUAAUUGCACUGCUCUGAAUCUCUGAUAAUGCUUUUCUUGUUGCUGCGAGUGAAGGCUGUUCAACUACGGGAUCGGCAUCCACCUGCUGCAGUCGGAGCAUCCAGAGAGCUUACCGGCGAAGAAGGAGAUCAACCCCAAGGAUAACCACAUCUCCUUCCAGGUACGUUGUGGUAGUUAAUUUCGAUUUGGUUGCGAACAGCUCUCUCUCUCUCUCUCUCUCUCUCUCUCUCUCUCUCUCUCUCUCUCUCUCUCUCUCUCUCUCUCAAAAGGAGUAUUAGGGUGUGACGAAAGCGACGUCGGCGUCCUGUCGCCGGCGACGGCCCGCAUGUGUUCCGCGAGUAACAGUGCCGUUAUGUGCGAUCGAUGGCCGACAACGACGGGUCGGGCUGAUGUGCACACGUACGUGCACGGCGCAUAAGUCUUCCAUUUCGCGCGUUGGUUCCUUGUUCCGUCGUAGAUGCACGAUGGAUACCAGGUCAAGUCACCACUCACCACACAGAAACUGAAGUUGGAUGCUGAGUCAGAAUGUCUCACUAGCUGAGAUCAAUUUUCGUUUAUCAAAUACAGUAUAAGAAAAGCUUCUGAGACUAAUGAAGGCGCAAAAUUGUUGUGUUUUGUGUGCAGUGCGAGAGCAUGGUGGCGGUGGAGCGGCGGCUCAAGGAGCUGGGCAUCCCGUACAUCCAGCGGUGCGUGGAGGAGGGCGGCAUCUACGUGGACCAGAUCUUCUUCCAUGACCCCGACGGCUUCAUGAUCGAGAUCUGCAACUGCGACAAGCUCCCGGUCGUCCCGCUCGCCGGCCAGAACUUCGCCAUGGCCGCCUGCAAGAGGGUCGCCUCCGUCAAGCAACAGCAGCUGCCCAUGCCAGUCGCACAAGUAGCGCAAGCAACCCCUGCUCCGGCGGCGGCCGCGGCUUCGCAGUGCGUUCCGGCGCCGAACCCGGCCUUGCAGCGCGUCGGCGGCGCAUAUCUCGUGCGCGUGAGGGGUGGGGGGCCGGGGUAGCCAGGCCGCCCAACUGGUGGGUGGCGCGCUCCGUGGAGUUGUGGUUUUUGUACAUUGUGAUACGACAGUGUGCGUAUGAAUAAAGCGAGGGGAGCAGAGUGUAGUUUCAGCUUCAAAUCUGCGUCUCGGAGCGGAUGAGCCCUCUGUUUGCUCUGUUUUUCCUCCCCGUCCUUCGAACUACUGUAGUAGGCCAGUAUUUAACCAAAAACUACCACAUUUCACAAAAAUGUGACAGAGUACUAUCUCUUUACGAUUUUGUGCGGAAAACUAUCACUUUUGUCCUAAUCCGUGGCAAAAUACUACCAAGUUUCGAAACCGAUCGCUUCACCAGCACUAAGCACCAAACUAAUCAGCCGGUUCCACGUUUCAGGCGCCACGAUGGCCAACCGAUGCGGCAGAUGGCCAACCGAUGCCUGCCGCGCGUCCGCGGUCGGAAACGGCGUCGUCAUCAAAUGGUCGGUCCCACGUUUUGGUGCAUUGAACGCAAACCGACAACCGCCCCGCCAACCGACAACCGCCCCGCCGUUUCCGACUACGGACGUGCCUUUAACACACGGCGGGCGUCGGUUAACCACCAUAGCACCUGAAACGUGGGACCGGCUAGUCAGUUUGAUGCUUAGCGCGGACAAAGCGACCAGUUUCAAGAUUUGAUAAUUUUUACCAUGAAUUAAGACAAAAGUGAUAGUUUUCUGCAUAAAAUCAUAAAAUAGUAGUUUUCUGUCACGUUUCCCUGAAAUGUGAUAGUUUUUAGUUAAAUACUCGUAAUAGGCACUACUCCCUCCUAAAGUUCUUCUUUUAGAUUUUACUACCCCGUUUCUAAAUGCAAGUUUUUUUAGAAAUUUUAAUAUGAACUACGUAUAUAUGUAUAAACAUAGUUUAAAGUUAGAUUUGUUUAUUUUGCUUCGUAUAUAGUUUCUAUUAAAAUCUAUUUUUUAAUAUUAAUAUAAACAUAAGUAUUCAUAUACAUACGCAUACACUAAUCCUUAUGAACGCACACAUGUACACCAACACGUACAUCCUAUCCAUAUGAGCACCUCUGAAAGACUGAGCCGACAUAUCAUCUUAUGAUUUACGAAGUCACCGUAGGCGCCUCAUCCUCGACGGAAUCGUCUUCUUCCACUGAAUCGCCAAAAAUCCUAAAAUAAAUCUAAAAAUAAAUGCGAGCAUCAGGAUUUGAACCCUGAUAGGCUAGAGAUACCAUAGUCCCUCUAACCAUCUAACUACAAAUUGGUUCACUAAAAAAACAAAAAUGCCACACCUUCGAAAAAUACUACUAAUCUUACGUUUUCCCUAAUCUUAACCAAUCCUUGCCUAAUUUUCAGGGUGGGGAGGCCUGUUAUCUAACUAAACAAAGCCACAUCGUCCUGUACGUAACUCUUCAAAAAACCUUUGGUAAGUGUAGUAAAGCCCUUAGAAAAGACUUAUACUUCCUUUGUAAACUAAUAUAAAAAUAUUUAGAUUAUUAAAGUAGUGCUUUAAACACUUUUAUAUUUGUUUACGGAUGAAGUAUUUAGGAACAGGGUAUUGAUAUGUCUUGUCUAAAUCGAGACGAGCUUGAUGAAGGCGAGCUCUAGAUGGGGCCAGCCCAUUGCGCCUCUGACCAGAAGCUAGACGCCAUAUUCCCAUCCUUUUUUUGUUUUCUAUUACUUCAUUUAUAUUUUCAGAUAUUCCAUAUUACAAAAGGAACACUUUACAUAAAACACUUAGAAAAUUGUUAAUGGAGUAUUUAAAAAUACUAAAUAUGUACAGAAAAAAUUAGCAUGUAAAUAAAAAGUGUAUACAAAAAAUAUAGAACGUGAAAUGUGUACAGAAAAAUAUUGACCACUUACUUAAAAAAUGUUAAUCCAAGAAUUUAAAGAAAUGUUAAACAAGUGUUUGAAAAAUGUUAUUGUAAAUUGUGUAUAUAAAAAAUAUUGACCAUCUAGUCAAAAAUAUUAAAAUUCCAUUUGAAACUAUAAUUGUGAAUUAUAUCUUAAAAAAUGUUAAUCCAAGAAUUCAAAGAAAUGUUAAACAAGUGUUCGUAAUUUUUUAAACUUGCAUUUGUAAAUUGUCUAUAUAACAAAUAUUGACCAUGUAGUCAAAAAAUAUUAAAAUUCCAUUUGAAACUAUAAAUGUGUAUUAUAUAUAGUCAAAGAUUUAUUUGACCGGUGGGUCCAUCGACGACGCCGUCUUCACUCUGUCACACCAUGCCCUUGCUCAACAGCCCCGUCGCCAUGUACCUCUGUCGUGCAUACCUAAUAGACUCGCUAUGCCGCCGCCCUCGCCUUGCCUUGCCUCCCGUCCUCCUCGCCGCCGUCCCCAUCCAACGAAUUCAUGGGUUCACUCAACGGCGGCUGGCGGCGUGGAAGCUUGCGGGAGCAGUAACUAUGGUGCGAUAUCGAGCAAAAAAAGGAGACGGGGAAUGAUCAUGAGCUCACUGCGGUUCUUCUGGUGCAGACGAUGAGAUCUAGGAAGCACAACAUGCGUCGAAUUUGUCGAUGGCUUCUGGUGGCCGUAGUCGAGGAACACGACCCGAUUCACCCGGCUUGGGGUAGCUGGAGCCUAUUCCUUUGUCUGGGCUGUCGAGGGAGACCAGGUGGAGCUAUGUGGCGUGUUGGUUUGGCGAGUGGUGGCCGCUUGCCAUGAAGACGACACCGGCAUCAUGGUGCUCUUGGGGGUUUCGAGAUUGCGGGGAAGAGAUGGGAAUGGCCAUGGGGGAGAUGUUGGAAAUAUGCCUAAGAGGCAAUAAUAAAUUGGUUAUUAUCAUAUUUCCCUGUUCAUGAUAAACGUCUAUUAUCCAUGCUAGAAUUGUAUUGAUCGGAAACUCAGAUACAUGUGUGAAUACAUAGAUAAAUACUGUGUCCUUUGUGACGGCAUCGAUCAUCGUCUGGCCAGGCACACGUGACUUCGUCACGGGGAUGCUGGAACACAAUAAUGAGAAAGAAGAACAAAACUGGUAACGACGAUUUCGGUAUAGUGAGCAUAGUGAUGACUCAGGAGGAUACGAUGCAUCUCGGGUUUUGUGUAGUAUCGUGAAGCAAAGGGACCAUCACAUGAUAACCUAAGGUUCACUCGAAUAUCAUUCGUGUACUCAUAGGGACCGAUGCAGACAUCCAUGGUCCCGCUGUUGGUCAUUGAACGAAUGAUUUCAUUCAUGUCUACGAGUUACCGAACCUACAUGGUCACAAGCUUAAGGCAAUCAUGAUCUGCUGAGUAUUAGUAGGUCGGGAGUCAUGAGAAUAUAUCUGUGGAGUUAAUUCAUGAAUAUUUGGAAUAGUUUCGAGAGGAUUCGGAAGCGUUUCGGGGUCACCGGAAGGGUUUCAGUGAAUAUCGGGUAAUAGCGGGUAUUACCAAUACUUCUUAUAUAUAUAGUCAAAAAACAAUGAUAGAUUGGAUAAUUGCCUUCUAGAAUAUAUAUUUUGCACCCAUAGACCAACGCUUCUACUUUCACCCCUUCCAUAUUUGAACAAUCCUUUUCGUAAGAUGAGUACAACUAUCACUCCUAUCCAGUUCCAUCAUGGUUGGGGACCAAGGUAUUUAUUAGAGAUAGCUUCAGUCAUAAUAUUUAGUUCUCAAUAGAUUUGGGCUUUAACAUCAACAUUUAUGUUUGGAGUAAAAAUGAUACUACAGCCGUGUUUGUUUCAGCUUCACUUGGAUUUUAAUCACAUGUGGAUUCGCUUCAGUGCCAAAGCUGAUUCGCACCAAAGUACACUUUGAGAUGCUUCAAGAAAUUGCACUCAAAAUAGCCCAAAUCCAGAUUCAGCUUUACUAGCAAAGCUGAAUUCUCUGAUUCAGCUUCACUAGCAAAGCUGAAUCAUGUCCCAUAAUCCGAAACAAAACAAGGCCUACAUAUAUCUUUGCUUACCAACUAGCCUGAAUUUGUACAAUAUUCAUCUUACACUUCUCUCAACGAGGUUACAAUAAUUAAAUCAGCCUUCAUAAGUAUUAGGGAAUCAUCAACAAACAGUCAAACUCUGGAAUUUUGGAGCCUCUAGGCGUAAGCACAAAUAAUAUUUCCUUUUUUCAGCUUUCAUUCUCUUUACGCGGAGAAAAGAUUUAGGUGCCAUUGUCUUUUGCAUCUGUGGCAAAUUCUGUUAAUCUUUUUCAACUUUGAUGGUAGCAUAUAAGGACAUUUGUGGUGGUGUUAAGUAGCAUGCAAGUAUAUUGUCCGUUUCCUUUUAUUAGUUUAGACUUUUUUAAAUACGCAUGGUAGAUUCCCUUAAUGAAAGCUGCGAGGAACCUUCGCACAAUCAAAAAGUGUUUUAUUGUCGUCUGUGAGCCGAAGAUUUGGGCCAGAAUGGACGUCCUCGGAGGAUGAGACGAACACGAACAGUCUAGAUGAGGAUGACGUGGAGCCACGUGUCAGCGGUGUCUGCUCCCGCGCAGCUUUAUAAAGGAGCACAACUCCAAUUCACCCUCCGCAUCUUUCAUUCGUGCCUGAAGCAGCAACCAUUGCCCAUUGCUAACGAGAGUGGAGUGGUAGAGCAGUUCGAGUUUGCUUUUCUCUCUUGCUUGAUGGAUUGAUUGGUGUGCCUCGAUCCAUCGUCAGAGGUGCAUAUACUUAGCGACAAAUUCUCCGGCCACCGGCGACACUGUAAGAAAUUUAGGCCUCAUAGGAAUUCUAGAGGAUAGGAUUCUUAUAGGAUUUUUUCCUUUAGAGCCCUUUGGUUCAUAGGAAUGGAUUCCUAUUCCUACAUAGGAUUGGUUCCUAUCCUCUACAUUUCAUAGGAAAAUAAAAAAGAGCCUAGAGUCAAUGGAAAAAUUUCUUUGGUGUCAAUCAAAUGACAUCUUGUUUCCUAUUCCUACUCAUAGGAUUUGAGAUACAUGUCAUCUCAUUUCCUACAAGAUUCCUAUUCCUAUGAUAAUCCUAUCCUAUGAACCAAAAGAAGCCUUAGGGUUUUAGUCUAUUCCUAUUCCUCUGUGCUUAUCCGUAGAGCCGCUCAUAGAUCGUAUAUCUGAGGCUAGGGGUAGGGACUUUCUUAUAUUGUUUUUCCAAAGAGUCCACCUCUUAUAUAGAUAUAAGAUUCCUAUUUUUUCCACUAGUUUCCGGGAUAGAGUCCAGAUCAAAUUACCAACCACGAUCAUAUUUGUCUAUUAACGGAUUCUACCCGUUAUGUCUCUGAAGCACGCGUUUGUGAGCAACGCGCCAUAAUAGAGUGUAAAUUCCUCUAAUUAUGUAGAUCAACAUUAGGGCUGUAAUCUAACUAUACGAUCUAGCUCCUUCCAAUCAUCAGUGUACCCGGGUAGUCUUUCCAAUAUAACUACUAUAUUGUAUUCCACUGAUAAUCGAUCAACUUCCUUAAGCAUAUAACUUAAGUACAUUCCAACAAGUAACAAUUCCAUGAUAAACAUGUAAAGCAAUUCCAUGUAUAAAAACAUGUAUAAUUACAUAAUGAGGUAUUCCAAAUAUUAACAAUUUCAAGUCAUUUGAGUAUAGUUGCAGGACACAUAAUUCCAACAUCUCCCACUUGUCCAAAACGAUCGUUCAAAUAUUCGUAACCCCAUAGUCUUAACAUGCUUACCAAAUACCUCAUGACUAAUAGGCUUAGUCAAGGGUCAGCAACCAGGGUAACACUAUGUUGAAAAUCCAAAGAAAUAUAUAGUGAUACCUUCCCUCAGUAUGUUUCCUUGCUGUGACUCUUAAGAUCACUAGAGACCUUUAGUUUUCGCCUAAUUAUUCCAGCAUAGCUGUCCUCGGCGCCUCGAGUAUUAUUUCCUCGAGUGUAAUUCCUCCUUUAUAGGCACCUCGAUUAUUUUGUUCCUCAAGUGAAAUUUCGCAUCAAUUGUUUUCCAUCACAUAUAUCAAUAAUAUGAUUAAUUCCACAUUGAGUCAAAUAUAUGAUAACCAUGUAGAAUAAAAUUUCCAAAACCACAUAAAUAUCAAAUCCAAUCAGUAAAUGAAACUCCAUAAGCAACCAUGUUUUGAAAGAAAUUCCUGACUUCGGUCAGUGAACCUGCACCAUAUUAGUACUUCACAAAAAAAGGAUAUGCAUACCUGGACUUAUUUCUCAUCUCGUAGAUACAAUAAUAGCUUCCUCAGUGUGUUUACCUUUAAUAUAAAUUUCAAAAUAAGUGACAGGUUGUGAUGCACUUUCCACAAUCUUAUAUGAUGUGUGAGAUUCCCUUAGAUGCUCGUCUUUCCUUCCACUGCUUGAAUGAAGCAUAAAUUCUGAAAGCUAAGUUAUGAUAACAUAAUGAAGAUACAUACGAGUUCCAAUAUCAUUUAUUAUUCCACUUUUCUCAGUAGUUCAAAUAUAAUUCCUCACUGAGUAUGAUUCCCUUUACCAAAAGGUAUUUAACAGAUUUGCAAUUUUCCAUAGAGAAACAUUUCAAAAUAUUUUCUAUGUAUUUCCAAUCGUAAAACAUAGGAUGUUUAAAAUGUUCCUUUCAUAUGAAAGUUAAAAGAUGACCAAGCUUUCACUUCCAUCAAUGUGACUAUAUCAUUGCAAACAACAAAACAAUAUUAACAUAUACAAUAAUAAUGCAAAAUACUUUACACUUACAUUUGUAGAUGACCAUCUUGCUUCAUUUAGAAAACCAUAUGACCUGCUAUUCCAUUGAUGUGAAGCUUGUUAUAAGACCAUACGUUAAUAUACUCAAUUAGCAAACCAUGUCUUUAGUUCCUCUUUCCCAAAAUUCCAGGAGAGAGAGUUUCCACAAGGCAUAUUUCCCUUUGUGUGAAUAAUUGAAUAACAAGAGUGACAUUAUAAUAUUCCAGCGAGCCAAAUAUCCUUUAAAAAAAUCACUUCCAGACAAUAGGCUUGCAGUUAUUUGGUAUGAUAUUAAGUUCCCAAAGUAUGCUCUUCCUCAUUUGAGUUUAUUCCUUUCCUCAAUUCUUCCACCCAUAGUUAACAUUGAAAAAAAACUUCAAGGGAUUUAGCGAUUCCUCUAAAAUUUAGAGUGGCAUGCCCCAACAACAUACAACUAUUAUCCAAACAUGAUAUUCUGAGCUAAUUCCUCCCACUUAUCCUAAGCAUGUCAUGUUUGGAGUGUCACUUGUAGUUUCUUUGGGGUCAAGAUUAUAUUCCAGUAUGAUUGUCAAUAAUUCCACCCUUGAUCAUACAAAUAAUUGUGUUCCUACUUUCCACCAGUUUUCCUUUUCCGGGUAACAAAGGAAACACCCUUUGAUCCACUAGAAUAACCAUGAAAAAAAAUCCUGGUGUGCGCUUUGUAAUAACUGAGAAUUUCAUGCCAAAAUAGAAGAUUUCCUUCCAGUCAACUGAUUGUAGUAGAUGGAGAAUGAUAUCAACAAAUGACAGUAUGCAAUGCUUCCAAAGAAACAAGGGAGUAUACAAGACAUUCAAAAUCCUCCAUUCAAUUGUGGAGUGUAUGGUAUAUUACAAUGGUGAAUAGUUCCAUGCUCUCUACAUACAAACAAUAUAUUCCUGAAGUGUACUUCCCCCAUCAAUCAGUUGUUAAAACUAUGAUAUUAUUUAAUCAACUGAUUUUCCACUUCAGUAUAACAUGUGACCAACACAAUAAAACCUUCUGACUUGUAUAAUAAAUGAUAAACAUAACCAUAUAAAAGUGUAAUCAUCGAAGAGUGGGAUGAAAUAAAUAACCUGACCUCUAGUGGGGAUGUCCAAAGAAAUAUCAUAAGUAUAAAAAAACAAAUGUGAAGCCCUUUCAUCUCCUUCCACCUUAAUAAACAAGGUGUAUUAAAAAAUAUGCUUCACAUGUACCAUAGUCCUCCCACUAGAGUUCAAAAUUCCAGAAUCAAUAAGCCUCUUGAUCCAGUUCCAAGAUAUGUGACGAUAUGUAGAUAAUAAGAUUCCAAGCAUAUGUGUUCCCAUUGUCGAUAUUCCUCCGUAUGGAGUUAUCUUCGCAAAAUAUAAACAUUAUGGUUUGCAAACUUCCAAUGGACAUCAAGAAAGAUAGAUCAUUGUGUGAAAAUCCAUACUGCACUAAUUUAACUAUUGAGCAAUAUUUCCAUUCUUCCUUUUCCAAACAGUGUGUCAUAAUCAAUAGAUUCCAAGAUAUAACAAUAAAGCAAAUUCGUUCUUACUGAAGUUUCACAGAGUGUCCAGUAGCAAUAAUACCUUUUCUCCACAAGGGAGUUUCAUGGCAAAAUUUCCAAUUCCAAAGUGUAUAAGAUUUAGCAGCAAUGACAAAGCAUAGAAAUAUAUAUAUAUAUAUAUAUAUAUAUAUAUAUAUAUAUAUAUAUAUAUAUAUAAUUUCCUUUGGAACUGUUACCAUGUGAACAAAAUUGCUAUUGCAUUCCAGCAAUAUGAGACAUAACCACAAUCCAGCUACAUGAAAAAAUAUCCCUGAAUAAAUAAAUAUAGUGCAAAUAUUAUCAUCAGGCAUAUCAACAAUUGAAGAGAAAUUUCCUUGUCCACGGACUGACUCCCAACUUCCUCCACAAACAAGUGAUGCUGAGUAAUAAGAUCUUUUCUAGAUGUGCAUAAUUUCCAUGCUAUCUUUUCACUGAAGUAAUUGCCGGCCCAUCCGGGCACUCAUGAUCUAAGGUCCUUGGAUUUCUUUUUUGUAUGGACUAGUAUUCUUCUGAGGAGUAAAUAUCAUCUCCUUGUCAUGAAUUGCAUGCAAUAGAUCUGAGAAAAAAAUUAAUCAGUGAUCAAAUAAAAUGAUUAAAACCAUGGAUGCGUUUGGUGCGUGUAGUCCUUCCAGCAAGCUGGCCGUUGCUUGCAAAAGUUCGUUCCACUUUCGUGUUAUUUGCCUUCCUGCAUAUACCAAAGUACUACACGCCUUCGUAUUGAAGCAGUAGAAGCAAAAGAAGUUUCUCUUUUCCUUCAGCUAUCCUUGCGAAGUGGCCGUUCAGAGAAGAAGCAGCAUGCAGUGUUGGUUAUGGCAAAAGUCAACCGGCCGUCGUUUGUCCGAUGGGAUGCAACGAAACCAUCAAGGCAACACAUAGUCACGUACAGGCAGCGGUAGGAUGGCAAGCUUGUCCACGUCUUCGGUUGUCAACAGGCCGCCGAACGCAGCGGAAUUUCCUGGCCAGGACCUCAAGCCAGUGAUGCAGUCGGGUCGCGUCGGACGCAUCUGAGCGACACUGACACGGAGCAGCGAACCCAACGACGCGAAGGUCUAGUGGCGACCUUGUGGCGAACUCGUCGAUGCGGAGGUCACCGGCGGUAGUCCAGCUCGACUCGGCGCGGAACAACACGGAGUCGACGGAGUGGACUUGGAGCGGCGGCUCCGAGAACCCAAUCAAGAAAAAAAUCUUACGAUUCACAAAGAGAGUUAAUUUCCUACACAGGGAGCAUCUUGCAUGGUGUGCCUCGUAUAUGGGUUGGGUGCAUGAUUGAGCCACGCACUAGCAGACGAUGUGAACUUUGCUUUGACUAUUCUAGAUCAUACGAAGCCUCCAACAACUUGGUGUAAUCAGCAUGGCGCGAGCGCAAGCUGGCUAGCAGCGCCCGAUCGGCGUCAGCCCUAGAGUCGUGCGAUGAGGAGGAUCCCGAGCGAUCUGGAGGAGCAGAGUUUGAUCCGGUGGCAGAGUUCGGUCCUGGUGGACCGACUAGGAUCACGGCGGCGGCGUGACCUAAACCUUGCUCAACAUACCAAUGUAAGAAAUUUAGGGUUUUAGUCUACUCUCUAUUUCUCUGCGCUUAUCCGUGGUGUCGCUCACAAAUCGCAUAUCUGAGGCUAGGGGGUAGGGACCUUCUUAUAUUGUUUUUUCAAAGAGUCCACCUCUUAUACAGAUAUAAGAUUUCUAAUUUUUUUUCCACUAGUUUUCGGGAUAGAGUCCAGAUCAAAUUACCAACCACGAUCAUAUUUGUCUGUUAACGGAUUCUACCCGUUAUGUCCCUGGAGCACGCGCUUGUCAGCAACGCGCCAUAAUAGAGUGUAAAUUCAUCUAAUUAUGUAGAUCUACAUUAGGGCUGUAAUCUAACUAUACGAUCUAGCUCCUUCCAAUCAUCAGUGUAUCCGAUAGUCUUUCCAAUAUAACUACUAUAUUGUAUUCCACUGAUAAUCGACCAGCUUCCUUAAGCAUACAACUUAAGUACAUUCCAGCAAGUAACAAUUCCAUGAUAAACAUGUAAAGCAAUUCCAUGUAUAAAAACAUGUAUAAUUCCAUAAUGAGGUAUUCCAAAUAUUAACAAUUUCAAGUCAUUUGAGUAUAGUUGCAGGACACAUAAUUCCAACAUCUCCCACUUGUCCAAAACAAUCGUUCAAAUAUACGUAACCCCAUAGUCUUAACAUGCUUACCAAAUACCUCAUGACUAAUAGGCUUAGUCAAGGGUCAGCAACCAGGGUAACACUAUGUUGAAAAUCCAAAGAAAUAUAUAGUGAUACCUUCCCUCAGUAUGUUUCCUUGCCGUGACUCUUAAGAUCACUAGAGACAUUUAGUUUUCGCCUAAUUAUUCCAGCAUAGCUGUCCUCGGCGCCUCGAGUAUUAUUUCCUCGAGUGUAAUUCCGCCUUUAUAGGCACCUCGAUUAUUUUGUUUCUCAAGUGAAAUUCCGCAUCAAUUGUUUUCCAUCACAUAUAUCAAUAAUAUGAUUAAUUCCACAUUGAGUCAAAUAUAUGAUAACCAUGUAGAAUAAAAUUUCCAAAACCACAUAAUAUCAAAUCCAAUCAGUAAAUGAAACUCCAUAAGCAACCAUGUUUUGAAAGAAAUUCUUGACUUCGGUCAGUGAACCUGCACCAUAUUAAUACUUCACAAAAAAAGGAUAUGCGUACCUGGACUUAUUUCUCAUCUCGUAGAUACAAUAAUAGCUUCCUCAGUGUGUUUAUCUUUAAUAUAAAUUUCAAAACAAGUGACGGGUUGUGAUGCACUUUCCACAAUCUUAUAUGAUGUGUGAGAUUCCCUUAGAUACUCGUCUUUCCUUCCACUGCUUGAAUGAAGCAUAAAUUCCGAAAGCUAAGUUAUGAUAACAUAAUGAAGAUACAUACGAGUUCCAAUAUCAUUUAUUAUUUCACUUUUCUCAUUAGUUCAAAUAUAAUUCCUCACUGAGUAUGAUUCCCUUUAUCAAAGGUAUUUAACAGAUUUGCAAUUUUCCAUAGAGAAACAUUUCAAAAUAUUUUCUAUGUAUUUCAUAGGAUGUUUAAAAUGUUUCUUGCAUAUGAAAGUUAAAAGAUAACCAAGCUUUCACUUUCAUCAAUAUGACGGCGCAUGGUAAUCAAACCGGAUCCUCAGCUCAAUACGUAGGAGCAUCGGUGUUAAUUGCACUGCUCUGAAUAUCUGACGGUGGUUUUCUUGAUGUUGUUGUGAGUGAAGGUUGUUCAACUACAAGAUCGGCAUCCACCUGCUGCAGUCGAAGCAUCCCGAGAGCUUACCGGCGAAGAAGGAGAUCAACCCCAAGGAUAACCACAUCUCCUUCCAGGUACGUUGUGCGUAGUUAAUUUCGAUUUGGUUGCGAACACUGCUGCUAUGGCUGAGAUGGCUAGGAUACAUCGUCCAGGACUGAAAGAUGGUAACGGUUGCCUUCCUUCUUUUUCUUGAACAUAAGGCUCACAUACACUCUCUCUACAAACGCGCACACACCAGCAUCCCUACCCUUAUAAGUAGACACGGGACCAGUACAACAUUUUGAGGUUGGCGAAGUCAUCACAGGUGUCUCGUGAUCGACGGGGCGUCUCCUCCCAUUGAACAAAUUUGUAACGGUCCUCUUUUUAUUGAGAGGAAGGAAUUAACUUGCUUGGUGCGUAGGCGAGAUAGGUUAGGUUCUCCGUCGUCGUUAGCUGCUCCUUUCUAUGCCCGUCACGUUUUAUCCAACCCUUGUUGGCACAUGCGAGGGUUGCUUUCAGCACACGUGAUACAACGUUAUGCGGAAGGAACUUGCUCGUCGCGACCCUUAGCCAGACCUCAAAAUUAAAACAAGCCAAUGAUUAGACGAGAUACAGUAUGUCUUGUAACGAAGGGCGCCAGACCCUGGGGCAGAGGCAGACAACAAACAUGGCAGGAUGCAUGUGUUACACUUACACAGCCGGCAAAUUGUGUUCACGUGCACGUCAAAGUGGGUGUGACUGUGCGUCCAGUACUUGCACGUCACAUGUUCAUACAAUGCGGUUUUAUUAUCCCACGGUACAUACAUGCACUUACCGGGUCGCUGUCCACGGUGACAAAGCUAGAUAGGCAUGAAGAAAUGGGCGUAGAAAGUGGGCAUUCAAUCGUUCGGUGGUACCCAUGCUGCGUAUAGGAACCGUGAACUGGUUGGCCACGUUGCAACACAAAGUUCCUCGGAUCCGUGUUCCGUGGAAAGGCUAUGUAUGCCUACCCAGGAAAGGCUGCCCAACAUUUCUCGAACGAUAGGUGCAAUUUGAGUUAGGCAAAAUUAUUCUCUCUCUAUUUUUGAGGUUGGGCAAAAUUAUUUUUUUGUUGCGAAAGUGAUACAGAUCUAUUAUCAAAGUUCAGUGAAAAUGAUUAAAACAUAAAUGAUUAAAGUUCAGUGAAAGUACAAAGUUUGGUGUUCCAAGAUGUUGCAGCAUGCGUAUGUGGUCUAGAUUCAGAACCACCAAAAAACCUAUAGCCUCAAGAGGGUUGCUUGUGGAACUCUCUAGAACGCACGUAUGCAUUGCAUGUCCCCCGUGGCCAAAAGCAGUUCGGUCAUCUCCAUCACCAACAGAGCAGGGGGUUGCUUUUCCCACAAACAAAGCCACAUGGAUGAUACUCCACAGCUUGGUCCCAUCAGCAAGACAGCUCUCCCUCCCUCCCUCUCUCUCAGGGUAUUAGGGUGUGACGAAAGGGACGUCGGACAGCCCGCAUGUUGUUCGGCAGUAACAGUGCCGUUAUGUGCCAUCGAUCGGUUCUUUGGAUCAAUCAUGGCAUGGGCGACAGCUCAUUUUACUACAUCGGUGGCCGACAAGGACGGGUCGGGCUGGUGUGCGCGGCGCAUAGAUCUUUAAUUUCACGCGUUGGUUUCUUGUUCCGUCGUGUUGCACUGGUUCUCUGGCAUGCACGAUGGAUACCAGGUCUAGUCACCGCUCACCACAUAGAAACGAGUUGCAUGCUGAGUCACGAUGUCUCGCUAGCUCAAGAAUGUGGAAGUCCACUUCUGAGAUCAAUUGAGGCGUCCUCUUAGUCGCCGGGCGGCUGGACGUGGGGGAAACAGCGGCGGGGAACCAGCUUGCUCCCCGGCGGUAAAACGGCGGCGGCGGGCGACUGGGGGUAGGGGCGGCGUUGCUGGGCGGAUGUGGAGGCGGCGGUAGCUGAAAGAGUCGCCGGCAAAAUAGGCGGCGCCGUCGCGGGAGGAGACAAGGGCGAGGGUUGCUUGUUGGCUGGGGGGAGGGAAGGCCAAUGUGCCCCCGACGAGCGGGCCCAGGACAGGAGUAGGCGAGCAAGCGCGCGUUCGUCGCGUGUCCGCGCCGACGCAAAUCAGGCUUAAAAAUGGACUGGGAAUGGAUCGCCCGCGGACGAAAAACGGACGCGCGUCCAUUUAGGCCGCCUUUUCUGUUCGCGCUGACCCAAACAGACGGUCACGGACGAAAUGGGUCGUCCCAUUGAAGUUGCUCUAACAAAAACAUUCUGGGACUAAUGGCCGAGCAAAAUGCGUGUUUGUUUGCAGUGCGAGAGCAUGGUGGCGGUGGAGCGGCGGCUCAAGGAGCUGGGCAUCCCGUACAUCCAGCGGUGCGUGGAGGAGGGCGGCAUCUACGUGGACCAGAUCUUCUUCCACGACCCCGAUGGCUUCAUGAUCGAGAUCUGCAACUGCGACAACCUCCCGAUCGUCCCGCUCGCCGACCAGACCUUCGCAAUGGCCGCCUGCAAGAGGGCCGCCUCCGUCAAGCAACAGCAGGUGCCCAUGCCAGUCGCACAAGUAGCGCAAGCAACCCCUGCUCCGACGGUGGCCGCGGCUUCGCAGUGCAUUCCGGCGCUGAACCCGGCCUUGCAGCGCGUCGGCGGCGAGGAGGCGGCGCAUAUCUCGUGCGCGUGAGAGGUGGGAGGCCGGGGUAGCCAGGCCGCCCAACUGGUGGCGCGCUCCGUGGAGUCGUGGUUUUUGUAUAUUGUGAUAUAACAGUGUGCGUAUGAAUAAAG